rnacentral:rRNA from 1 species
CCUACGGGAGGCAGCAGUGAGGACUAUUGGUCAAUGGACGAGAGUCUGAACCAGCCAAGUAGCGUGAAGGAUGACUGCCCUAUGGGUUGUAAACUUCUUUUAUAUGGGAAUAAAAUGUUCCACGUGUGGGAUUUUGUAUGUACCAUAUGAAUAAGGAUCGGCUAACUCCGUGCCAGCAGCCGCGGUAAUACGGAGGAUCCGAGCGUUAUCCGGCUUUAUUGGGUUUAAAGGGAGCGUAGGUGGAUUGUUAAGUCAGUUGUGAAAGUUUGCGGCUCAACCGUAAAAUUGCAGUUGAAACUGGCAGUCUUGAGUACAGUAGAGGUGGGCGGAAUUCGUGGUGUAGCGGUGAAAUGCUUAGAUAUCACGAAGAACUCCGAUUGCGAAGGCAGUUCACUGGACUGCAACUGACACUGAGGCUCGAAAGUGUGGGUAUCAAACAGGAUUAGAUACCCCGGUAGUUC